UACGGAGGGUGCAAGCGUUAAUCGGAAUAACUGGGCGUAAAGCGCACGCAGGCAGUUGGAUAAGCGAGAUGUGAAAGCCCCGGGCUCAACCUGGGAACUGCAUUUCGAACUGUCCGACUAGAGUCUUGUAGAGGGGGGUAGAAUUCCAGGUGUAGCGGUGAAAUGCGUAGAGAUCUGGAGGAAUACCGGUGGCGAAGGCGGCCCCCUGGACAAAGACUGACGCUCAGGUGCGAAAGCGUGGGGAGCAAACAGG
rnacentral:rRNA from 1 species